AUGCACUCAGAAGCUAGAAAGAGCAUUCAAAACCCUGGAGUAGAGUUACAGAUGGUUGUGAGCCACUGUGUGGGUACCGAGAAUGGAACCCUGGGCCUCUGGAAGUACAGGCCAUGCUCUGAAAGACUACCAAGCUACUUCUCCAGAUCCAAGGGCUUGCGGAAGUGACUUUGAACCAGCUUGAUCAAACUCCAAGCAGCUGUGUGAGGUGAAAACUCACCACCAAGGGGAAAAAGAAGCUGGAGGCGGGGAAAGCAGGCACCAUGGAAUGAAGAAACCUAAGAAUGUUACUGCAACAUCACCGGCCUGCUGAGUGGCACUGAGGCAGAGCUACAGUUUCUCUGAGGAGGGACAAGGGCUAGCAGGGAACUGUUUGGUCAGGACUAGUGUCAGCUGCUCACCUGUCUCUGGCGCUCCUAUCUCACACCACCCUGGCAAGCCAAUCAUCUCCACGCUUUUCCAUUCCUUCCUCCAGAGGCAGAGGGGUGGCGAAAUAUUUGGGGUUUGGGGACCAAUGGGAUGGUACUAAGUGUCUAAUCUCUCCAAGUUGCAGUGCCCUCACCUGCAAGGCAGGAAGCACACAAAUGCUUGGCACUGGUGGUCGUGAAAGUAGGAGCUUAUUAAUGGAGACAAGCAGUUGGUGCAAUACAGAGGGAUCCUCUCUGCUGCAGGUAAUGAACCCUCCAGUAUUGGAGGUAUGCAAGGCUUGACGUUUUGUGGUGCUUCCAGCCCUGCAUGGGGAGAGUGAGGACUAGUCUGGUCAACCUGAAUUAAUCCCACAGCAGUAGCAGAGGGGAGGUUUUGAUUUUGUUAAACAGAGUCUGGGAUUUCAUGUGUCAGCGUGCUGCCUGGCAAUUAAAAUCAGGAGAGUUUAAUCUGAAGAGAGUUCCAGCUCUGUUGUUUGCCCUUUUAAUCUUGUCUGUUACCAUGGGAACGGCAAGUGAUUGCAAUCACCACUGUUUGUAUUGUGAGCCUGCUCCCAUCAAUGUGGCUUUUGAAAAACAAGAAAUAAAAAUCUUGACUUCUGCACACCACUCAUUACUAUUCAGAACGAACCAGGAAGUUCCGUCAAGCGCUUCCUUCCCAGCACAUGCUCUGAAAUCCCCACCAGCCCCAUUUCUGGCCUGCUUUCUUUCCGCUCCUCUCUCCUUGAGCCAGGUGGCUCUGCCACGUGCUGGGAGAGCGUCACCAGGCAGGAUGAGAUCCUGGGUGAGCUGGGGACCCUUUGCUGGGGAGGAACUGGCUACCGAGCCUCCAUCAAGGAGUGACGGGUGUGCAAGGGCUGUUUACGUUCCUCCAGAUCAUGGAUGUUAGUUUUUAAUUUUUACUUUUCUUCAUUUACUUUGCAUGCCUGUGGUUGUGCACACACAGGGGCCUACUGGUCACCUGCAAAGUUACAGCAGUGGCCUGCCUGUCUCCUGGCUCCUGCUGGCCUUGAGACCCAGAGGCUCCAUGGCCUAGAGGGAGAUGACUUCAGCCUUCUUUCAGAGGACUCCCAAUACCUCUGCCUCCUCCUACAGCUUACAGAAUGCUUUAUGGGUUUAUUUUGUCUUGCAGAUUGAAGUCACCAUGCAGUGAUGUCGAGGCAGGAACCUGGAGGCAAGAACUGAUGCAGAGGCCGUGGAGGAGGCUGCUUACCAACUCACUCAGCCUCCCUUCUAAUAGCACCCAGGACAACCAGCCCAGGGGUGGCACAGUGGCAGUGAGCUGGGUCUUCCCACAUCAAUUAUCAAUCAAGCAAACGCGCCACAGACUUGCCCACACAUUAGUCUAGUGGGGGCAUUUUCUCACCUGAAGCCUCUUCUUGCCAGCAACUGCACGUGGGAACUUCUGGAUGAGAUUCUGGAAAGCCUGAGACCCUGCUGCCGUGUGUGAGGGUGCCAGUCUGCGACAUAUGCACAUGGUGGGGUUGAUGUGUGCCUCAAGUCUCCCUGAGGUGGACAGACAUGCAGCAAGAUGGAUUAAGAUAGAGGAGACACUUCAGCAGCCAGUGAUGGGAAAUGAAGACCACUCCCUUCACUGUGGCAGUUGAGACAUCUUUCUGUGGGAUGGACUGGGAUACUCUGAGAGUUCUGAGAAGAAGGUAUUUUAAAACUGCCAUCCCUUUUAGGGUAAGAGCGGAACCCCUGGCUUCAACCCUCUCUUUCCAAGGCAGAUAAUCCUCCUCCUCUUUGCUAAUCUCAGAAUUAUAUGUGUCUAGAAGACAACCAGGAAGACAGUUUAUUGUUAAAAUGACCAAGUUCACUUUGGUCACAUUGAAGAGAGAGAGAGAGAAAAAAAAAAAAGAGCUAUUUUCUAGUGUCUAAAUCUCAUUAAAAAAGCAAUUUUGCAAUCAAUUACAAUGCAAUUUAGCCACUAACUGUUUAAUUAUAUAUUUUAAAAAACCAGAAACAGAAGAUGCAGCCAGAGUGAGUCCGUUCUCUCUGUCCCCACACUAUGAGCCAGGCCAAGAGAAACUGUCUUUGGAUGAGGUUUGGGCAGCGGGAUGAGUCUCUGGCUUUCCAAGUCAGUAAGUUACACCAGCCUAAGGAGGUAGCUGCACUCACAACACGCUGCAGCCGGAGACAUACAUUUUUUUUUCCCUACAAGAGCUUGGACCUUUCUUAUUCUGUCAUGCACUAUAAAAAUUGUAUAAUUCUGUGUGGCUUUUAUUAAAGGAACAUUAUUUCUAUAAAUUAUUUUUUAAUGCUGUGGAAGAAUUUGCCUUCUGGAACCAUCUUGGUGAAAAUAAUCUGCAGAUGAAAUAGAGACUCAGGCCUUCGGAGUGCUGGAGAUAUCAAGGUCUGGAAGAGAGGGGUGGCUCACUCCUUUAACCCCAGCGCUUGG